CGCCCCCAAUCCCUGCAUUUCCUGCACAGUCAGGGUGUCCCAGGAAGCUCUGAUCCCUUCCCCUGCAAAAACCCCAGAAUACUCUCAAACAACAGGAAUAGGGGCUUCUGUGGCGCCCUCCACACCCCUCUCUUGGCCACCGGAGAGCCUUGAGCUCCCACCACCACCACCACUCUCUCCAGCGGCUGGAACCGCCAAAGCCCGGUGUGGCGAGGGGUGCAGAAUCUGCUGCCCGGCGGGUCUGGGCGGGACCUUCUAGGCCGCAGGCACCUCUUGGAAAAAGAAAAGCGAUCCCUCCUUCAGGGACUAAGGUAGAGAGGCGGUAGGAAAAGGAGGGCAGUGGGCGUACGCACUAGCCAGCUGGAAAGAAAGUGUAGCCUUAGAAGUCUGGGACGCGUUCGGCCCCAGGGGUGGUAAGACAGGCUCCCUCCCCCGCCCCAUACAAGCCCCGCCUGGAUUGCCCGCCUGGGUCUGGAGUACUGGGGGUCACCUCCCAGCCUCCUGACCCUUGGACUCCACGGUAGGGCGAGAGUGGACCCCGCGUCCGAGGACCAAACCGGAGCGUGGGCCUCCACUUCUCUGCAGAAGAGCCACGAAGCGCACUAGAACAGCUCAGGGGACUGACGGAGACGGAGCGUGCGCGGGGAGAGCGUACCUAUGCUGUCCCCAAUUCAGUGUCACCGGGUGUACAAGUGUUUCACUGCUGUGUACGGUGUGCACCACAUGCGUGCCUGAGGCCUAAGGAGGCCAGAAGAGUGCAUCACAUUCCCUGAGACUGGAGUUAUAGGUGGCUGUCUUAGUUAGGGUUUUACUGCUGUGAACAGACACCAUGACCAAGCAGAACCAGAGAGGACCGGUUAGAGAUCUGCACAGCUCAGAAGAAGAAAGGGAGGAAAGAAAGGUGGAAUCUCCAUAUACUGUCUGGCCCUAUAGCCUCAGGCUGGCUGGGGAUGCUCCUGCCAUGGCACACUGGCCUUGGAUAAACUGACCCCUGGGCCACCAUGAAACAGCAGCAAGUGCCACCUCUGAGCACAUGCCCUAAGUGUCUACCUAUGUCCUGAUGAGUCACCCAGACUGCUCACCCACUACCCCUGAAGCUCAUCUGCUGGGUCCCCAGCAACUUGGUAUGAUUCACCCUUGUUCUGCAGUUUCUGUCUGAGCCUACUGUGGGGAAAGACUGUUGCUUGGCCUUUGUAAGUAAAGAGCUUGCACGUCU
rnacentral:lncRNA from 1 species